AAAGCAUUACUAUUUGAAAUGGUGUCGAAAGAGAAGGGUGAUAAUAUUCAGGGAAAGUGACCUGCAGGGAGAGCUCAUCUGGCUCAGAUAAGACAACGGCACAUACACCAUUUUGACCAGUCUAAGUGCACACUCACAGAUCAUCAUUUCAAGUUAAAAAUUGUCAGAAUCAGCAGGGUUUUUCAGUUCUGGUCCACUGACUGUUCUGUGAGCAACAUCUUAACAGAAUGUGAAUGCCACUGAGUGGCAAAAGACAGAGCGGCAGCAUUUGAGUACAGUGUGAAAUCAGCGUAAACACGGCAAACUGGCAACUAAAAAAAAAACGCUGAUGGGGAAAGAGUUAAGCAUGCUUCCAAGCAUAUUUGAUCAUCACUUUAACAGUUGCACGAUAUAAAUGUUAAUGUAUAAAUUAGAUGAAUGUUGAUUUAUAAAAAUAAACACCACAGUCUUCUUAAAUCAUAUUUUCACUGUGUCUUUGCUGCGUCUGUGUUGGUUGGGAACUGCGCUCUGUUGCAGACACACUUGAUUCUGAGGAACUACU